rnacentral:antisense_RNA from 1 species
UUUUAUGGCGGCUGUGCGCAGGGCGCUUUCGAGCGCGCCGGUGCUGACUCCCGGUCUACUAACCUUCGCACAGCUGCCACCCUU